rnacentral:rRNA from 1 species
AAGAACGCUGGCGGCGUGCCUAACACAUGCAAGUCGAGCGCGAAUGGAGCAAUCCUAGUAGAGCGGCGCACGGGUGAGUAACACGUGGGUAAUCUGCCUGGAAGUCCGGGACAACCUGCCGAAAGGCUGGCUAAUACCGAAUAAGCCCACAGGGUCUUCGGACCCCGAGGGAAAAGAUGGCCUCUGCAUGCAAGCUAUCACUUCCAGAUGAGCCCGCGACCCAUCAGCUAGUUGGCGGGGUAAUGGCCCACCAAGGCAACGACGGGUAGCUGGUCUGAGAGGACGAUCAGCCACACUGGAACUGAGACACGGUCCAGACUCCUACGGGAGGCAGCAGUGGGGAAUUUUGCGCAAUGGGCGAAAGCCUGACGCAGCAACGCCGCGUGUGUGAUGAAGGUCUUCGGAUCGUAAAGCACUUUCGACUGGGACGAAAACCCGCUGGCUAACAUCCAGCGGUCUGACGGUACCGGGAGAAGAAGC